AGCGGGAUUAUUUUUGUAAAGCCCGGACAAAUUAAGUUUUCACAACUUUCUCAGAACCAAUAUCGUGAUUCAUCCGCUUAAACCCUAGAUAUUCUUCCUCAAUUUCUUUAAUAUUCCAUCUCCUUCCUAAACUCUAAUCGAUCACAAAUCUCACGAUUCACACAAGAACAAAAGGCGAGACAGAAGAGGAACGAAAUCAGAGGAUUGAAGCUUCUAUUGUUGGAGUUUGCUACGAAAUCUACGACAUUGAAGGUUUAAUCAUCCGAACUGCUAUCUAAUUGAGCUAUUGGCAAAGGAAGGAUAUCUUGUUGUGUUGGUUCCUUAUAAUGUGACAUUCAAUCAUGAAGAUGCAGCUAGGCAAGUUUAUGAGAGAUUUAAUGCCUGCUUGGAUAUCCUUCUCACCUGUGGACUUUCUGAUGCAAAAAUGUAUUGUAUUCCUAUUUGGCAAUAAUCUCAAUAUCUUAUGUCAUUUGUUCAAUAAGGUAUUAAGGUUUCUAAAAUUUACUAGAUAUCAGCUGACUUUGACUAAGUUUUUCCUAUACAAACUACUGAUUGUAUCAACUAGUAAAAUCAACAAUUAAUGAUAAACUAAGCCUAGGAAUACAAUACAUUUUUUAGUGUUGUCAAUACAUUUUUUGCUGAUUUUCUUUUCUCUGCUAGUAGCAACAGACAGUUCUGUUCUGAUGAUGUUCUGUUGUUCAGAUGUUGUUCUGUUCUGUUGCACUGGCCGGAGUGUUGUUCUACUACUAAAAAUGGGCCUUUUAACGACCAUAGUAUAACGACGAAGCGCAAGUAAUUGUCGUUAAAUUGGAAAAUGAAACCCAAAUCGCCGCGCGUCUUUCUAAUUAAUUUUAAAGACAAAAGUAGAGCUGCUAUUCCCAUAUCAUGCUCGUCGUUAAUGCUCAAAUGAAGAAAACGAUUUUAUAAAUUUAACCCUAUACUCCUGUAUUAUAUAUUUAUAAGGCGGAUUGAACCUCUUCCGUUGGUGUCUUUAACCUCUCGAAUUUGAGUUUGGAUGAAGGUUUACAAAAGAAAUACAAACAUCACAAGGUGAAAAAAAUAAUCUGAAUAAGGUAAUUUUUUUCUCUAUUUUUUUUUUAAAAAAAAAAAAAUUUAGGGAAAGAUUUGCAAUUUCUAGGGUUCUAAUUGAUAAUUUUAAUUAAUUACGAAAAGCGAUUUUGGUUUUCUUUAAUUUAGUUCUACAUCAACAGGGUUUUCCUUGAUCGGUUUUUAAUGAAGUUGGAGUAAUUGCAAUCGAAACCCUUAGAAUUGGCUGAUUUUGGCGAUUUCUUCCUGCUUCUGAAAUUUAUCUUUCUCUUGUAUUAUUCAAGCUUCCCAAAGCUUCCCAAAAUUUAUCUUUAUCUUUCUCUUUCUCUUGGCAAACGUUUCCUGCCUUUCCUGUCCUAUUAUUCUUCUGCUUUGAUUUAUCUGUUUGCAUAACUCAAGUUUCUGUAUGAUUGAAUGCUUUUGUUUCCCUUUUUCGUAUACUUUUUCACAAAAGGUUGUUGGUGAGAUCAGAAGAGGUGUUUUUGAAGAAACUGGUUUGACAUGUAGUGCUGGUGUGGCUCCUAAUCGAUUACUGGCUAAGGUUUGGUCAGAUAUAAACAAGCCAAAUGGACAAUUUAUUUUGCCAAAUGAUCGAUUGGCUGUGAUGACAUUCAUAUCCUCCCUCCCGAUAAGAAAGAUUGGAGGCAUUGGCAAGGUUACCGAGCAUAUCCUAAGGAAUACUUUUGAAAUAAAUACAUGCAAGGAUUUGCUUGAGAAAGGCAGUUUUCUCUGUGCCUUGUUUUCUCCUUCAUCUGCAGAUCACUGAUUACCUUGUGGUUUUUCUUAUCUUUGAAUCUUUAAAGUCGUAUCAUUAAUUCUCUUAUGAAUGAUUUCGCUGUGUGGUAGCCAAGAUUUUCCAGAGGUCUCUUCUGCAUUCUUCUUGUGCCAUUGUAUAAUACAAGAGUGUGCUUCUUGAGCUUACUAGUGUCCAGGCUCGAAGGAGAGGGAAGCGAGCUAUAGAGUUGGAAAAAAGGUGGAAGAUGUCCUGGCUGAUCAAGAUAAGAAUGGACAGAAUACUCUGCUGAACUUUGUGGAGGAACCCAUAUAUCUAAUUUAAGAGAAGCCAAGGCAUUUGCUCUUUUAUCUUAGCAGGGGAUUGCCAAAGGAAUUCGUAGAGUGACUGUUGUUACGUCUGAGGUUGCGUUGAAUGCAAUUAAUUUGGCAUGCUCCCUCGAGCAACAAUUGAUUGAUGCAUCAAACAUAGAUGCAAGCGUGCUGGAGAAUGUUAGUUUGGGAUAUUGUUCUUUUUUUUCUUCAACACUAGCAAUUUUAGAGAUUACAGCUUGUAGAUGACUGACUUAUUAGUUUGGUUGUUUUGACUCACAUUGAAUUUGUUUAUUAUAAAUUUUUUGUG